rnacentral:RNase_P_RNA from 1 species
GAAAGUCCGGGCUCCACAGGGCAAGGAUAACGGGUAACGCCCGCCGAAGGCGACUUCAGGAAAAGUGCAACAGAGAGAUACCGCCCCCCUGCGCUGCGGGGGAGCAAGGGUGGAAAGGUGAGGUAAGAGCUCACCCGCCGGCUGGAGACUGUCCGGUGCUGUAAACUCUAUCCGGAGCAACACCGUGGAGGAGACGUUGGCUGGCCCGGCCGUCUCCGUGGAGGUGGCAUGGAGCGUGCCGGCAACGGUACGCCAAGAUAGAUGGCUGUCUAAGACAGAACCCGGCUUACAGACCCGAUU